UAGGGAAUCUUCCGCAAUGGGCGAAAGCCUGACGGAGCAACGCCGCGUGAGUGAUGAAGGUCUUCGGAUCGUAAAACUCUGUUAUUAGGGAAGAACAAAUGUGUAAGUAACUAUGCACGUCUUGACGGUACCUAAUCAGAAAGCCACGGCUAACUACGUGCCAGCAGCCGCGGUAAUACGUAGGUGGCAAGCGUUAUCCGGAAUUAUUGGGCGUAAAGCGCGCGUAGGCGGUUUUUUAAGUCUGAUGUGAAAGCCCACGGCUCAACCGUGGAGGGUCAUUGGAAACUGGAAAACUUGAGUGCAGAAGAGGAAAGUGGAAUUCCAUGUGUAGCGGUGAAAUGCGCAGAGAUAUGGAGGAACACCAGUGGCGAAGGCGACUUUCUGGUCUGUAACUGACGCUGAUGUGCGAAAGCGUGGGGAUCAAAC
rnacentral:rRNA from 1 species